UUUUCAUAGUUCAUACGCAACACGCCCGAGCAAGCCUUUCUUCCCAAGCAAGCCCUAGAUAGUCCCCGUUCCAUUCUCGUAAACUCAUGGUUGAUGGUUUGAUAAAUUUGACAAUUUCUACAGUGUCUCUGAUUCACACACUGUGCCAACUCGCUAGUUAAAACCUAUAAUUUGAUCUCCGUUACUGCUUUCAUGGACACAAUUUUUGUUCGCGCUUUCUUUGUCUUAACGAUUCUCUCAUCUCCAUCUUCCUCAUCGGUAAAAUAUGAUGCAGUCGUCCUCUCCCCGCCGGUAACAAGUGGCGAUGCUCGAACGAAUGCUACAUAAUUCAAUCAGGAUCUAUGAGUCGACGAUUAUCAGGGCGUUGUGGCUGCCUCCGAGUACAUGCCGUAGUUCCUCUCUCCGUAUUCGGCAAUUCGCUUCUAGCCACAGCAUCUCCUAGUUGACAUCAUCCGGUCCUUGUAUGCACCCCUUCGAGUAGCAGGCGAUGGUUCAACAGCAGUACGUCUUCCAUCAACGGAUUCUUUCUCGUGCGUACGCUUCUUCUGCUCUGUCUUAGAUUCCUCUUUUUCUAUAUUUUGUUCUGUGUUUUUAGGUUUUUCUAUGUAGUUCAAUUGUUUUGGAAUUUUAUAAUUGUAUUAAUCUAACCUGAAAUCACUGGAAUGAAAACGCAUUGAGCAACGAAAUGCUAAUUUUCAAGCACUUGAGCAGGGUAUUUGAGUGUCUGAUAACUAUGUGAGUAUAAAUUUGAACAAGAUUGUUAGUGGGAGCCAAAAACUUGGAUAUGCUAUGAUGAUGCAAAGAGAGGAAUGUCUUAUUCUUGAUUUCAUUUCGUUUGAAUUUUGUAUUGACUGAAUUUUUCGGAUAAUUUACAUGAUAACUUAAGAAAGUCAAAAGGAAUUGCAGGAAAACGGGGUCUAAUCUGAGGAGGAUUUUUUGGCGGAUUGCAUACUACUUGGUUGGAUUGGUUGUCAACCUGUGGAGGCAACAUUUGUUACUAUUGGAAAAAUUCUUCCUUAUGUUUUCUUCUUGCAGUGUUUCAGUGCUUAUUAUAUGAAUUUAUGUUCUGAGGUAAUUGGAUCUGCAGUUGUCUGACUAAUAAAAUGUAACUUGAUUGAACAAUAUGAAGAAUUGAGGAAACUUCGAUUGCCUGUAAGUUCACCUCUCCUGCUCCCAGUUUUUACCUGCUGCUAGUACACACUUGGACUGCGUUGAACUUUCAUUGUUCUUGAAAGUUCAUUUUAUGGUUUUUCCUCUUUUACCAUUUUUCUUUCUUCAGGUAUUUAAUUUUUAAAAUAAUUCUUGAUGCUCAUUGGCACAAGCCACAAGGAAAUGUGAUAGUUGAACUAUGAAUCAGGUCCUCUACUCCUCUGCACACAAAAUUAAAGCAGCCUAGGUAAACAUUGACAGAUUGCUGUUUUUCAAAAAAAAUAAUUUAUGCACAUUGCCAUGUAUUUGUGGACUUGCGUUCUUGACUUUGUUUUCUUCUUUCAUAUCUGUGCAUCCUUGAAGUAAGAGUAAUAUGUUUCAAGGCUAUUUAUGGUAUAUGUUCCUUGUAUCGUACUCAAGGCAGUGAAAAUAUCCUGAAUAUAUGACUUUGCAACUGUAUGUAACUGUUAGUUUAUCAGCAUAUCCCACUUCACAGUAAUUGAUUAUCAUUUUCACCUAUUUUGUGUUAAACAUGUCUGGUAAUCGAAAAACAUAAGUGGAACAUACAAGUACACUUUAUAUGGUGCUGAAAUGUUCUUAGAACAAAAGCACCGUCAAACUCAAAACAAUUUUCCUGUACUGAUGCUAUAUUUUUUCAAAAUCCAUUUCAAAUGCUCUUUGCCUUUUUACAAAUCCAUUUAUAUUUUGCUGUUAUGAAUGAAAAUCUUACAUGAACAGCUGAUGUUCUCUGGACUCACUCCUUUUAUUCGAAAUGCUUCUAUGCAUGGGCAUGGUUACAUAUGUUGUCAUGUGAUUGAAGAUAAUUGUGGCUCAUUUAUGGUAACUAGAUCUCUCUGUCAUUGCUAUGUAUUCUGCAUGGGACUACCGUGUCUUCAAGAGAUUUGCUAGAUUCCAUUUCAACUGGUGAAGUAAUACCUGACAAAUUGGUGAAGUCGAUGUUAGGUGCUAGGUUUGCGGCAACUGAAUUGGAAUCGUAGGUUUUUCAAGAUCUGAUUCAUCAACAAUAAAUGUUUUUUAAACACUUUUAUUAAAUGAAGCAAGGAAAACAAUUAUUAACAUAUAUGUGUCAGUCUGUGUGCUGUUUAUCAGAUUUUCUAUGCAUUGGUUGACACCACUCUUUUUGAGGAACAACCACCUCCAUCCUGGGACACAAGUUCUAUUAUUGCUGUGUUGAAAAUACAGGAUUUCAGGUGGAAGAAUAUGAAGGGUACACAUUGGCAGAUCCAGUUUAGUCAUCUUGCACACUAUGGUGCAGGUAUGUUUGAACCGACCUUAUGGUUAUAUUGUGAUGACAGUUUGUGCAUUCUUUCUUCUUAUGCAAACAUGGUCGUUCAGCAUCAUACUAUUUUGAUGCUACUGGGCUCAGUUUCUUCACGCACGAGAGUACGUGCAUUUGGUUAACUGUAAAGAAACAUUUAUUUAAUUCACUAGUCAAAUUAUUGUUUAUUCUUUUUGUACUCUUUUUCUUUGGGUUGCGCUGCGCCAUCUGUGUGCUGCUUACUAAAAUUCUUUCUUUUGUUUAAAAAAAAUUCACAAGUCAAAAUAUGUCAGACAAGGAAAAAUAAGAGGGGGUAGCAGGCUUGCCAUGAGCUACAUGAGCUAUCUAUGAGAAUUUAUAACCACCCACUCUCUUGCCAACACAACUGGACUCCCUGCCUCCCUGGUGUUUUUAUGCUCUUUUGCUAGUUAUUAUGAAGUGUUUGCAUUCCAUAAAUGGAACUUUUAAUGAGUUAAUGCAAAGCCUUGUUAACAUUUAUCAUUCUCAAACCUAUGUACUUUAUAUGUUGUUUUCUGUUGAUUGACAGAAUAUGAAUCACUAAUAUUUAAAUUUACAUCUGUUGUGGGUUUUCUGGAGGGCUCAUACUGUGAGGCUGGCAUGUGGUUGAGUUAUGGAGUUCAGUGUUUAUUUUUUUUAAAAUCUCACUUGCAGGUUACUGUAGCUACUUGUAUGCAAAAUGCGACACAGUGAACAAAUGGUAAAAUCUGUGCCAGGAGUAUCGACUUUCGCUAGUUAUAGGAAAGGCCCUUAGAACAAAAUUUUUAUUGCAUGAGUAGACAAAGAACCAGCUGAUUUGUUGAAGAAUCUAGUGAAGGAUGGGAUGGUAAGGUAAUAUUCCAAAGGUAGGAUACUUCCUGCUAUAACUAAUUAUUGGGAUUUGAGUAAAAUGAAAACUAAUAAUUUGGAUAAACUAAAGCUACUGGAAAAUAAGCAAGAAGCUAUCUUACUCUUGAUGGAAUGAUGAAAUUAGAGGCGGGAAAGUGUGAAAUUCAAUGAGAGCUGGAAAUCAAAUGAAGAGUGGAGAUAAUAGGGUGGGUAGAGGAAUAUUAAAAGAGCCGAAGAUAAUCUAUGCCUGUUAAAGAAUGCAAUAGGUGAUGUGCACUUCAGUCUCAUCCGAGUGCUGCCAGGUAAGAUUAAUGCUUCUCGUAAUUAUGAAAUCUUGCGAAGUAUUAGCAAUGUGAAAAGGUAAGAUUAAUGCUUCUCAUAAUUCGUUGGGUGUUUGCUUGCCUAAUUGCCUGAAAUGAACAUGGAAUAAGGUUUAUAGAAUUUAAUUUUUUUAUAUUUUUUAUAAAUUAUCAGUAGUUAAAAUGGCUUCUGAUUUGAUUGGUGUGCUUUCCUUUUUAUUUCCAUUGCAUUCAAUGGUUUAUUUAGCAAAUGUUUUGGGGUUUCACCUAUAGCAUGGGGAUCAAUUUACAGAUGACCGAGUGCUUAUUCCUGAUUUGCCAUUUGGUGAGAUAAUUUUCACCCAUACCUAGACAUUUAAGGGCUCAUGCAACGGAAAAAUUAAGUUAAAAUCUCUCUUUCAAGGUAGUUGGGGUUAUUGGGUUCAUGAGAUCUAUAGAUGAGAGAAUGUUGAAGCUCCUUCAGAGCUUAUUAUUGUUUGUCAUGUUCAGUGAUUUUGUUGUUGUGCAUGGAAACUGUACUAGUUAUGUCUAUAUCUGAAUAUUCAUACUUAUUCCUAGGAUCAUGAUAAUACUGUUGACUUAAGAUCCCGGGAAAAAUAAUGGGCAGAAGUGCAAGGUUACA